GACGAACGCUGGCGGCGUGCUUAACACAUGCAAGUCGAACGGAAAGGCCCUGCUUGCAGGGUACUCGAGUGGCGAACGGGUGAGUAACACGUGGGUGAUCUGCCCUGCACUUCGGGAUAAGCCUGGGAAACUGGGUCUAAUACCGGAUAGGAGCCAUUUUUAGUGUGAUGGUUGGAAAGUUUUUUCGGUGUAGGAUGAGCUCGCGGCCUAUCAGCUUGUUGGUGGGGUAAUGGCCUACCAAGGCGGCGACGGGUAGCCGGCCUGGGAGGGUGGACGGCCACAUUGGGACUGAGAUACGGCCCCGACUCCUACGGGAGGCAGCAGUGGGGAAUAUUGAACAAUGGGCGCAAGCCUGAUGCAGCGACGCCGCGUGGGGGAUGACGGCCUUCGGGUUGUAAACUCCUUUCGCUAGGGACGAAGCUUUUUGUGACGGUACCUAGAUAAGAAGCACCGGCUAACUACGUG
rnacentral:rRNA from 1 species